rnacentral:lncRNA from 1 species
CACGGAGACUGUAUGGCUCUCAGUACGCUGUGCCUCUGCCAUCUGCCUCAAACAGAGUUAAACUUCUCAACAAACGAUAACGGAGCCAAGUAUAGGUGUUGAGACUGAGGGAACCACAUACAAACAACUGCUCCUUCUCUGCAUGUCAAGGGUGCAGAGCAGGAUGUGCUCUCCUCCUCCUAUCACACAGAUGCAUGUUAGCAUCGGAAUCUGUCUGAGAAGUUUGGAGAUUUCGGCAUAGUCAGUGGCUGGUCACUGGGUUUCACUUCUACGCUGCGGUAUCUGCGUAUUGGGUUUGCCUUGUGAACCAGUUCUUGUCUUAGCUUAGCAAUUUCUUCCUUUUCACGCUCCUCCUCCUGCUGUCUGACCUGUUCUUGAAGCUUCUCUCUUCUGGCUUCUAGGUUUGCCAAUCGUUUUUCAAACUCCUGUCGCUCUUUAGCUCUUUUUUCUGUUGCCAGCUCAAAGUUUUCAGGAACUACAGAACCAGAAAGGCUCUCUGAUAACAUCUUAUUUUCCUUUUUAGGCACAAAAGGUUCCUGGUACACCACUACAUUGGGACGAGCUUUAAAGCACGCUGCCUCCUUCUGCUUUUUCAAGUCUUCUUUAAGCUGCUGUUUCCAGCUCUGUUGCUUGGCAGCUCCCCGUUCAUCAAUCUGUAGAUUGAAUGGCUCAGGCUGAGUUGGGGUUUUGACCUUCUUUUCUGGUAGCUUCACGUGGUCAAAAUAAGGCAGAGGUAGCGCCUUAAACUUUGGCACCUCUUCCUUCUGCAAUUCUUCUAUUUUUUUCUCUUUCUGUAUUAGCCGCUCUCUGUCACGGGAAUCAAAAGAGAAGGGGCAAACUUCCACAUGCCUCUGUUCUGGCAUUUUAGGUUUGAAAGGCACUCCGUAGUGUGGCAUAGGGUGAGCUUUGAUCACAGGGGCAACCUCCUUUUCCUUUUCUUCAUCUCUGCUAGUCAUUCGGGUUCUGCUUUUUGAGGCAAAGACUGGAGACUUGGGUACAGUAACAGGAAGCACUUUCUUCUCUGGAACACCCACAACAUCCUCCAGGAUUUUAGUUGGACACGGCCUGGAAUGGAAUUUGAAGUGCUCUUCUUGCUGCUGUUUCUUAUUCUCACGGUCCUGAAUCCUCUUCUCUAUUUCCAACUCAAAGCCAAUUGGCUGUGUGAGUUCCUUCACAGGUGGUUUCUUGGGCAGGAUUGGCCCACCCUCCAGAAUUUUGUGAUCGAGCUCUCGUGCUUUGAAUUUGUACUGUUGAAUUUUCUCAAUUUCCUCUGCUUCUAAUUCUGCUGCACUCUUGCAGGCAACAGGUCUGAAGCGGUGCUUUGUUUGAAGCACUGGUGUUUUAGGGUUGGUAAGUCGAGCUUUCACUGGCUUUGCUGGAGCUGGGCCUUCAUCAGAUUUCCUGCUUCUCAAAUGGUAACGAGAGGGUGUGCGUUUCUGGAAUGCUUCAACCUGCUGAGCAAGGGACACAUACUCUGAUGAGGUAUCUUCGAGUUUUCUUUUGCUUCCCGUGGACAGAUUGAAAGGUUUGGGGACGGUGGGUCCCUUUGGCAUUCGCAUUGGAGAAGGAGGAUGCUUCCUCAGUGCUGCUGCAAAAUCCACUUCCUUGUACUCCUCAGGCUGGCUUUCCACAUGUUGUUUAAUUCUAUUCUCUGUGCAGAAAUGGAAGUCAACUGGCUUCGUUACUUGACCAACAGCUCUCUUCAUAGGUUGUCCUGUUCCAGCAAUAGCUGCCUUCAGGGACUCCUCAUUCCUCUUUCGCAGCUCCAUGACCUCCCGCUGCAGCUGCUGCAUCUUCUCCAACUCCUGCUCCUCUGUACUCUUCAGCUUGCCAGCCAUAUUGGUCCUCUUUAGCAUUGUUGGCGUGGAGGGCACAGUCAGUUUGUUUUUCCCUCUUGCUGGGGACAGGUCAGGAUGAUGCAAAAGCUCUUUCUUUGGGGAUACAUCUGUCAGCUUCUCCUUGCUGCUAGAAAUUUUCAUUUUUUUCAGGGGUGGAGCCUCUUCCUUGUUAGCCAAUGUAGUAUCAUUUUUCUCCACUCUGACUCGAGCUGGCUGUUUGCGUUGCUGUGUUUUUCUUUGCUUUGUAGCUGGCCUUCUACCCGCUCUUUGAGGGGCCUCAGCAGGAGCAGUAGCCCUCCAGCUUGUCAGGGAUCCAACAGUAUUCUGAGGAACCACAUCGGUCUCUGAUACUUCUGCUUCAUCCUCUUCACAGUUUUCGCUCUUUGUCAUUCCUUGUGAUGUGACAGAAGAAAGAACGAGAGCAGGCUUUGAAAAAGCAGGACUGUUCUGCAAGACCUUUGCCAGAUUUUCUGCAGGAGGGAUAUUCUCCAGGUUGGCUUGUUGAUCAAACCAGGAGUCUGCAUUGUGUACAUCAUCAUCGCUUAAAGUUGCAAAGUUGAUGCAGGGGUUUGGGACAUCGAAGGAAUAGCGAGACAUCUUCACACUGUCCUUGGGAGUCCUCCACCUGCACUGUUACAACCCUCAGCGCCGCAGCCGCCGAGCGCGGGGCCUCUGCCCGCCGCCGUUAGCGGAUUUCAAAC